GUACUGUUGUGGCCAAAAUUGGCAAAGAAACAUGUCACCCCAUAAGCACCUAUUUGUGAUUUUCGGUUGUUAGGUAAUCCUAAUGUAUUCUGAUAAUAAGCAUGAAUCUGGACACCAUAAAAAACUCCAUUUGGAUUCAGAAUCUGCCUAUUUUGUCUUUGUAAUAUACUGUGAACCAGUAAUCGGGGAAGGUCCCCAGAAAGGCAAUUAAGAACAUGGCACUCAAAGUCUUGAACAUAUAGUUAAGAGCGUUCAUUUUGGCUGGUUGGCUUGUGAGUCCCAUUGCAGGAAAUAUUUCCUUCUGAGUCAGGUUUUGGCUAUAGAAAGCUGUGUCUAACAAGAACUAUGUAGUCAUCGUACUAGCUAGGUGUUGGCCAUGGCGUCUGAACAACUCUUUUGACAACAAAGGGUAUUCUUUAGCAGCCUUGAAUUGUGCUAAAUUUUCUUGAUCAGCUUGAAUUUCCAUGUCAACAACUCUGUCCAUGUCGGUAGCUGCUUGAUUAGCAUCACCCUUUAUAAGAGGCGAUAUAGCCUUGUUUCCGGCAUCUUCAUACUCCAGUAGAAUGUGAGAACUCGGUGAAGAGCUCCAAGCAUCAAAACUAUUCUCUAAAUAUUAUCUGCGUUAGGCACAGCAGGCAAAAUUUUAUCAUCCAGUCCUAAGUAAUCAUUGAGAAAAAUUCGUGAGAGAAUCAAUCAAUACAAGGCAGGUAAAGACAAUACAAACGACUUGCCUGAUUUAAUCACGAGUGUACGAUAUUAUGAACAAAAAAAAAAAAAAAAAAAAUGAAGUGGGCCAUAGAGUUUGAAUUGUUAUUUUACAAGAACUAUUUAUCGUAAACUCCAAUUUCGCGUUAAAACAAUAAAAAUGCGCAAUUAAGAAUUAGGAUUUUUAACAUGGAUAGGAGAGGUGUUAGGAAUCGUGAUCUCAUCAUAUUUAUUUCCUUUUAUUCUUCUUAAAUUUGUUUUUAAAAUUGUAUUGGCCUAAUUCACUAAUUUAAUUAAUUUACCUCUCUUAGGGGCAAAUCAAUUGUAUCUGGGCAAAUAACUCACCAUAUAAGUUUCAACUAAAUGCAUUAUAUCACGUUGGAAUUCAUUUCAUGACCGCAAUAUUUUUGAUAAUAAUGUAUCUUUAUUUUUUAUUCAAUUGUUGAAUUUUACGUGGUCCAUUUCCAUAACUUAUCUCUUGAUUCAGUACAAAUUUACAAUUCAAUGAAAUACUGAUCAAUUAUUUCAGAGACACUAAGUAAUUGUAAUUAAAAUAAUUACGCAUUAUUGGAAAAGAAAAUAAAAAAAAUUGAGUACAUCACCAAAAUUUCAACGAAGAUUAAAGAAAAUUGGACAACUGUAGACACUCUUCAAUGCAUGGUUUUCUUUUUAACACGGUUAAACUUAAGUGCGACACGCUUUUGAGUUCUUACUAUAAUCACGGGAAAAUCAUGUGAUAACGACAAUGCAAGCGAUACUGACGACGACGUUUAAACCUUUUCUUCAUCUUCUCCAAUUUUCUAUGAAAUCUCCCUGUAAAUUCGUCUUCUAAGUUCUUCCACCUUCAAAUUCCUUGCUACAUAACAGGUGAAAAAUAAAUAAAAUUAGAAUUUAAAGUAGAAAAUAAUAAUGCAAGCCAUUUCUACCUUCAAAAUCAUCACAGUUGCUCCAACACCAUCAUCCUCCAUUCCAAGAAUUUCCAUCACAUGCCCUUUAGUUUUCAAGAAAUUCUCAUCAGGUGCCCAAUUUUCAUCUUCCAUUUCCAUAUCAAGAAAGACCCAUAACCACUCGAAAUCGUCAGAAGAAGCAGAGAUACUGGAAGCGGAGGAUGAGUGGCUUCAAAAGUCGCCGGAGGAAAAGAAGCCAUUGCACUCUCACAGGUUGCCAUGCAUAGAAGCCUGGCUGAGAAGUCUUGGGUUUUACCAGAGUAGAGAAGAUAGAGCUGCUUGGUUUGUAGAGAAAUCUGAUUGGCAUGGCCAACUCUAGCUUGAUAUCACUGAUCUAGUGAUCUUUACAUAAGGUUUUGUUGUAUUUCAUUUGAUGACUAAAGAUUGGAGUUUUAGCUUUUUUAUUAUUAACAUUAGUAUUUUUCAUAUCAUUCUUACGGAUUGUCCUCUUGCUCUUAUUGUUAGUAUUUGGAUUCUGGAAUCAAGUUUAGGAUUAAAAUUAUGUGUUGGAGCAGUAGGCUCAGAUCAUUGGGCAUUUGUUUUAACUGGGGAAGAAAACAAUGUAGCUUCAUGGCAAGAAAACAUUUGGUUUUAUUUUGUGGAAGGGAAAAUAAGGUUAUUGGGUAAUAAAUUGGUUGCAGGGUAAUGGAUGAUAUUGCAGUUUGUGAGUUAAUGAAUUUUGUGGUUUGACUCAUUGAUAGGUGAAUAUGUUGCACCAUUGACCCAUAAUUAUGCUGUGUUCACUUAUCCCAUCGAUUGUGGAUUGACCUGUAUUCCAUGAUAACUAUAGCAACUUGAGGGUGCUGUUUGUUAGAGAGACACAGAUUGAGAGGAGUUAGAUCUCUCCAUUGCAACUUCUUGCCGAUUUUAAUGAAAGCUUGUGAUGGCGAGUCGAAGUAUCUCCCAUAUCCACUAUAACUCUCAUGUUUUUUUUUGUAAUUUUUGGAUUCCUGCUUGCUUAUUAUUGCACUUAUAAUAAGGAAUAAGGACUGUGUUUGUAUGGGAGAGCUAAAAAGCUGAUUUUGAUAAAAAGGAGUGGUGGACCCCCACUCAUUUUGAGUGGUGAAGAAGUGGAUAGUAAGUGUGGGUCCAAUGUAUUGCGUGGUUAAAGUUAGGGCCCGUUUGGUAGGGAUUUUGAGAAUUGAUUUUUUGACCGUUAGAAGAAAAGUGGGGUCCACAUGUGAGAGAAGAAGUCAAAAAUUACGGCUUGAAUAGUAAAAUAACGGUCAAAAAAUCAAUUUUUCGGGGCAAAAAAUCUCUACCAAACGGAGCCUUAGUUGUUGAAUAUGACAUCGACUUUUUAGCAGCUUUUUAAGCUUUCCCAAACAAGAUCUUAACAUCGUAACUAUCUUAGCCUAGGAUAGUCCUUGUAACGAUGUUGCAAACUGCUUCAGGAAAAAGUCAAAGAGAAAUAAUCUGUUAUAUGAUUUAUACUGAGUUACAUGUGAGGAACGACUAGCCACAAAGUAUUUUACGAUAAGAAGGAAGAAAUGUGAAGUCCUAGGGCAUUGUGUUGCCAACUAUGCUUGUAAUUAUUUACGCUUGUUCAAUUGCUAAGAUGUACUCUGUUAUGCAUUGACAAUGAACCAUAUUAGUGCAAGUAUCAAACCAUUGUAUAGAGUUGAUUAAUGUGGGCUGGGUAAUGCACAUGGCUAAUGCAAUGAAUUCUUAUUUCCUCUAGUGAAGUCAACCAUUUUAAAAGAUUCAGUUGAAAGACACAUUGACAGAGGCUUUGAAUUGUUCCAUAAUAUAUAUAUAUAUAUAUAUAUAUAUAUAUAUUUGGGGGAUAUUCCUCCUCCAUAUAUCAGUUACUUUUCAUAUAGAUUUCACAAAUGCUCUUCCUCUUUUAUAGGAACCAAGGAUCAUCUUUUUUGUUAGUUUAGAAUCCAGAAGUUUAUUUGUUUAUAGUGCAAACAUUUGUUUGUUUGGAGUUCCUUUUGUUGGAUAGUAUAUCUUUCUGUUCUGUUAAAGUUUGUAUUUUAGACCAUCUUCUCGUCAUAAUAAGACUACGAAAUUCCAGUAAUAAGCCAUGUUCAGCAUUACACUUUCUGAGUAAAAGAAGUGUGUGUUUGCUACAUAACACUAGAGUGAAGUGGACAGUAUAACGAAAAAGAUUUUUGCUUCUUUAUCUUUUUUAUUAGUGUCGAGUGUUAUCUAAUACUGCCUACCAAACAUACCAUGAUCUCAUUUUGAUGAGUCUUUACCAGAAGCAUUCAACUUUUGAGAGAGAUUGGUUCUGUUGUCAUAUUUUUCUUCCAGAGAAGUAGAAGCUUAGUUUCUAAAGAUAUUUUAGAAAUAUGUAGAGUUGUGGACGAUUUCUUGAGAUGAAUUAUUGGCCUCAGGUUAACUAUUGACUAUAACACUUCGCAAUGCAAACCCAACAGAUGUAGAUCAUAGACAUACUUGUGAAAGUAUGUUAUUGAUAGAACUAAAAUUUUGGUUUAAUUGAAAUUGAAAAGUUGAUUAACAAUUAAAUCAGAAGCAAUUCAUUAUUUUUUAACUUGCCUGUCCGCAGAAGUACCUUUUUUUUUUCAAAGUCCCUAUCUUAUUUACCAGUUAUGUUGCUUGUCAUGUAUUCACCGGCAAAUAAGAUCUGAAUUUAGACUAAUGACAAGAUCCUGCAGUAAAUCAACAAAGCCCAAAGAGUUAUUAUACUGUUUUGAUGUUGAAGGGUUCAACUCGAUGAGUAAUUAUGGGAAGCUUGUCAUGUAUUCACCGGUCAUUUGUAAUAUGAAGUCUAGACAACUCUCUGCUCUGAUCUAGGUUUCAGUCUGUCUUAGAAAGACUAGUAGAUGAAGUUAAGGAUGCUUCUUUAAAAGAACAUCUAAAAUGGUAGAAGAUGCAAUGCGUUCUCUCUUUUUAUAGACUAGUUUUUGCUGCUUUUUAGUAUGCCGACCUAUCGGAACUCCCUUAAGCAAACCAGAAUCCUCCGAGUCAGCUUCAGAAUGUCUACCUUCAAGAAAUUAUUUUAUUUUUUCCUGCUUUAUAUUAAUUUUUCAACUGCCUAAUUAUCUAUGCUUUCUUCAUUAUGUUCGUUACUCUUCAAUCGAACAAGCUUCUCUUGUUUCCCUUUCAAAUUUUAGUAAUUCAAGUUCCUAACAGCUCUUUGGAAUUGAAUGCAGGUAUCUAAAGAGUGGACCAGGAAAGCUUGUGAAAGACGUUGAAAUGAGUUAUUCACUGAGUAGAGAAGAUAUUGAGAAUGCCAUACUUGGAGGGCCAUGAAGAUGAAGAGUUAUUAAUCGCUGUUGCUUAAGCGAGCCUCCUUGCAAUCCUCGUCUAGAAAGACUCGACAGUUAGCUUUAUAUUGAUUUAUUAUCUAUAUCUUGGAAAUAAUUGUUAUUGAUAUAUCAACGGCAUAAUAAAAAUAAGGAUAUUCAUCAAGAAUCGCUUAAUCUUUGCAGCAG
rnacentral:lncRNA from 1 species